CAACCUGCCAUCCAGCGGAGGAUAGCCUUUCGAAAGAAAGGAUAAUACUCCAUGACCUCCUCAGAGGACAUCUGACGAGGAGCAAAGAUUCAUCGCUGGGUGAUGGGGAUGCGUCUGAUUAGGCAGUUGGCGGGGUAACGGCCCACCAAACCGACGAUCAGUAGGGGUUCUGAGAGGAAGGUCCCCCACAUUGGAACUGAGACACGGUCCAAACUCCUACGGGAGGCAGCAGUGAGGAAUAUUGGUCAGUGGACGUAAGUCUGAACCAGCCAAGUANCGUGCANGACGAAGGCCCUAUGGGUUGUAAACUGCUUUUAUGCGGGGGUAAAGUGAGUGACGUGUCAUUCAUUGCAAGUACCGCAAGAAUAANGACCGGCUAAUUCCGUGCCAGCAGCCGCGGUAAUACGGAAGGUCCUGGUGUUAUCCGGAUUUAUUGGGUUUAAAGGGAGCGUANGCCGUCAGGCAAGCGUGUUGUGAAAUGUCGUGGCUCAACCAUGGACUUGCAGCGCGAACUGCCCGACUUGAGUGCGCAGAAAGCAGGCGGAAUUUNUGGUGUAGCGGUGAAAUGCUUANAUAUCACGNNNAACUCCGAUUG
rnacentral:rRNA from 1 species